rnacentral:lncRNA from 1 species
GCCAAAGGUGGGAAAGUAACAUCAUAUCCAGCCACAGGGUAGCUGUCCUCCUACCAACCCCAAUCUCCCAGCCUCAGGCUGAAAACCUUGACCCACUCCCAUCCAUUCCCAGUUUCAGUAGAAGGUCCACCUUUGGGCAAAUGAGGGCUUUUUGCUAGUCCACUGAUUUACUGAGUUGUGUUCUGAGGUUUGUCACAUCUGUAUCGCUCACCUUCCUCUGUGUGUCACCAGACUCCUCAGGGUUGAGUGCUCACAUCUCACCAGCACCAGGAGAAUUAACAAAACAGCACACUCUGGUUUUAAGAUGGUUGUGCAAUCUCCUCUUCCUGUUGGUCAAGAAUCGGAGGAUCGAGGCUGGGGAUCUAGCUCAGUGGUGCAGCCACCAGUGGUUGCACUACAGUGGUGCAACAGAGGAUCGGCUCUUUUGAGAUCCAGGCCAUGAAGGGGUGCAGCGCCUCGUCUUCCUUCCUAGUCUGCCGCUGCUCAAGAGGGGCUGUUUAAUUAAAGGGGAACCCGCAAUGUAUACGUCAGAUAAAAGCAACUCGCG